rnacentral:misc_RNA from 1 species
GAAGAGAUAGAGAAGUACUGGACUACAAAAUAUAACUCAAGUGAGAGAUGAAUUUUAAUGACCCAGAACCCUGCAGGCUGCAGGUGGUUGAGAAAGCAGAAAGUUUCACUUUUCUUUGGUGGAUAAAUGCUAAUGGUGUAACAGUUCUUGUUCUUGAAACUUUGUAAUGGAUUUCUGUACUACUUCAAGACUCCCCCCAGUGGAUUGCUUGUAGAUUAAAGACAGUAAAUUUCGGUGUCUUUAUAUCUUAGAGAAAAAGAAAUUUGUACACUGCUAGCUUUCAUUAAUAAUUUUACUAGUCUGAAAUAUUUGUCUUGUAUUGUACUGUUCAUUUACAUUUCUAAACCUUGCAAGCAAUCUAUGGGAAAAAUAUGCAGCUGCUUGAUGAUUA